CGGCAGGCUUAACACAUGCAAGUCGAACGCCCGAGCAAUCGGGAGUGGCAGACGGGUGAGUAACACGUGGGAACAUACCCUCAGGUUCGGAACAACGCCGGGAAACUGGCGCUAAUACCGGAUACGCCCUAUUGGGGAAAGGCUUGCUGCCUGAGGAUUGGCCCGCGUUCGAUUAGCUAGAUGGCGGGGUAACGGCCCACCAUGGCGACGAUCGAUAGCUGGUCUGAGAGGAUGGCCAGCCACAUUGGGACUGAGACACGGCCCAAACUCCUACGGGAGGCAGCAGUGGGGAAUAUUGGACAAUGGGCGCAAGCCUGAUCCAGCCAUGCCGCGUGAGUGAUGACGGCCUUAGGGUUGUAAAGCUCUUUCGCACGCGACGAUAAUGACGGUAGCGUGAGAAGAAGCCCCGGCUAACUUCGUGCCAGCAGCCGCGGUAAUACGAAAGGGGCUAGCGUUGUUCGGAAUCACUGGGCGUAAAGGGUGCGCAGGCGGGUUCAUAAGUCAGGGGUGAAAUCCCGAGGCUCAACCUCGGAACGGCCUUUGAUACUGUGGAUCUUGAGUCCGGAAGAGGUGAGUGGAACUGC
rnacentral:rRNA from 1 species